rnacentral:rRNA from 1 species
GGCGUGGUCGUCCGGCGGGGCUCCUUCAUUGGGGCCGUUUGUCUGGUUUUUCGACCGCACCAUUCUCGGGUAGUGUGUCGCUGGCAUUAGGUUGUCGGCUUCUUCACGCCCGUCGUUUACUGUGAAAAAAUUAGAGUGUUCAAAGCAGGCUUAGGCCG